GACAAUAGCUAUGAAAAUGGAAAGUAUUCCCCAGAUGUAACGGUCUGAAAAAAUCCUAUGUCAGUUAGCAUGACCAUUUCUUUCUGAAUCUGAAUUUUCUUUGAGUUACCAGAAGUCUCAGUUACCCGUACAGGAGGAAAGUUUAGAUUCAUUUACAGUGAAUCCCUCAAACAGGAGUGAGUCCUAAUCAACCAUAAAAACUGGAGGCUGGAUUUCUUGCUGUGAAAAGAAGCAAGAAAAAAAGCUGAUGUGUCCUGCUGCAUCAUCACAACUGAAAGCCUCCUAAAGAAUUGAGUUUGAGCAUUAAAGAGAAGUUACCUUUGGGCUAAGAUCAGAGGAGUACAAAGUAUUUAACUUCUUCUUUGUAUGCAAGCAGAGACAGAUUUCUAGAAGUGCAAUACACACAAACAAGGAGUCUUAUCUACUUGUCAAAUUGUUUGUUAAGCCAUUGGUUAUCAAGGGGCCUGAACAAAGAUUCUGAAGAGAGAAAUUGCAUUAAUUGCCACGGAUAAACAGUGUGUUCCAGAACAGAACUGCAUCCACAGAGUCAAUUGAUCAUGCCAUCACCCUGGCUGUACUUCAGUAACUGAGGAGACUGGCAUUGAAGUCUGUUUAUCUUCACGUGCAUUCUCAUGUGUUUUGGAUCUUUUUGAUGCAUGCCAGGAUUGUACAACUUUGAAGACUAAAGCCAUAUUGUACUUCUGUGUAUUCAGUAUGCAUGCAUGGUAAACAGUUGUCCAACAUCAUUCAAAUUUUUCUCUUCAUAAUCUCUUUGAAAUGGCUUUAUGCUAUAUUAAUACUGAAAAUAAGCUAAUCAUCAUUUCUAAUACACUGUCAUACAAAUUCAUGCACUGCCAUUUAAGAUUUCAGCCAGGUAAGACUUUUUCCAUUCACAAAUAUUUUCUUAAAGUGUACUGUAAUUGUCACAUUUUACACCAUUCUGUAUUUGUCUAGCUAAAGUUAUUGCUAAAGU
rnacentral:lncRNA from 7 species